GGUAUGUUUAAUUAGGUGCAAGGGCUCCAAGAGUUGGCACCUAAUACGAUUCCUAAUGUAAGUUGAAUAACUUAAGUUAUUAGAAAACCUAUUGCAAGAAGGACUUGUACUAUGAGAUUGAAUAGGAUUCAAUCCUCAUGCCUAUUUAAAGGGAUCUCUCUUAAGAUCCCUAAAACAUCCAAACUAGUAGUUCUCCAUGCCUAAAAGGUCCCCCCACGCCCUCUCUUCCUCUCCCUUUCUCUUCUCCCUUGGGCUCCUACACGCCCCAUCUUUUAGGAUGUCCCAAGCACCCCA
rnacentral:lncRNA from 1 species